GCCAGAGAGGCACAAAAAGACUCUGUGAAGCAACAGUCACUCCCAUGGAGGACAGCUAAAGAGAGAACAGCCUCGCAGGCAGACAAACUAAAGCGAGGCGCACAGUCAAACGGCAAAACAGACAACUACUCUGCAACCAAAAACCACAAAACGAGAAGUGCAAGAAACUUGAGGACCAAAGAAGAGAACGAUUAAGAGAAGCAUGAAAGGGAUUUUGUGCCAUCUCACUUUUCCUCCACUCCACAUGCAGAGUAUCAUCAGUACCUGAGGAAUUAUCACUCCUAACCUUAAUCUCAACCUGACUGCUUAUCUCCGUCUGUUAGUCUCCACCUCUGAGUGACGUACUGCACAUUUUAACAACAGACAGACAUAUAUAAAACACACUCAGCAGGUUAACUCCUCCAGGGGAGGCAUGUUCAUGUUCAUCGCUGCCUCCUCCUCGUCAAGUGGUCGGCUUACUUCGGUUCCGUAACUUUUGCAGGUCAGCCUGGGCUGGGCUGAGCGUGUGAAAACAACAACGGAGACUCUCAUAGGAUGGAUGCCAGAGAGGAGACGCUGAACACCCUGACCAGGAUCUGGGUCAAGCUGCAGGGUCUGCCCAACGCCGACCCCAUAGAGCUGGGAGCUUUCUUUGUCAUCUUAACCUUCAUCUACUGAGCUGGUCACAAUGCCGUUUCGAUUUGCUCUCCCACAGUGGUGGUCCUGCUCAUGACAGUGCUGGCGUGCAUGACCUGCUGCUGCUGCUGCUGCCGUCGCAAAACCAAGAUGAGGGGAUCGAACAUUUGAGCAAAUGUGCUCCACACAAGGAAACAUGACAGGAGACAGAAACACAACAUCAGGCGUUCUCUGCGGCUCUCUCAAGCGUAACGUCAUGGCCAUAUACUUAAUAGAUUAUACAGCCUGAUACAGUGUGUGUUUAGUGGCCCUGAAGGAGCCUUGCCCUUGAACAAACAAAACCCCUGACAAACACAGAGAUGGCUGUCCUGACAAACACACCUGCUGAAGCUGCCAGGUUUUCAGGACGCUCUACAAUCCUUAGAGCAUCCCUGCGCUUUACAGGGCAACAACAUGAGGAAACCCCAAGUGACUUGCAUAAUGCAUAUAAAUAAUAAAUGGAAUAUGAGCUACAAAGAUGUGUAGAAUGAUUUUUUUUAAAUUGCAGUGAGUUGCACAGUGAGAUAUGAAGGGGCGAGCCAAAUUGGUUUGUUUAUGUUUUUUUUCUAAACCUAACUAUGUGUCAUUCUUAAGGAACGACAAUUGGCAUUCAGAGUUAGGUAAGAUCCUCCUAGGGGAAGUAGCUGUUUUCAAACCUGACUUAUUUUGUGACAUAAGUCACAACAAAGCAUAAAACAGAGAUCAAGUCUGCCCUCUGCUGUACACAAACCAGAAUGAACUAUGAUUUAAUUUUUAAAAGGCACAGCAUGCAUGUAAUGACAGUUAUGGUUUAAUGUAUAAAGCUGCAUGUGUAUAUUAUGUGCAAGGGGGGAGACAUUAUGUA